ACCUGGUUGGCUCAAUCGGUGGAGCAUGUGACUCUUAAUCUCAGGAUUGUAGGUUCAAGCCCCAUGUUGGGUG
rnacentral:tRNA from 1 species